GCUCCCAUGAGUCUUUCGCUGCAAGAAAAAAAAAAGUUAUCAAGUAUUCCUCUACUAUAAAUAGAAAGCUACAACAAGAUGAAACAACAACUUUUGAGCAAAAGAAAAAGAACUUAUUCAUCAAGAAUCUCUUUGUUUAUAAAUCACACAAGAACUACAUCUUUGUUUUGAGCAAGCUGCUCUUUUUUGUGUAUUAAAUCUUUAAAGAAGAUUAAUACUUUUCAAAUUCAAAUACCAUUGCAAAAGAAUCUGUAAUUGUGCAGAAAGCACAAAGGUUGUAAAAAUUCUUGCUCGUAACGGCAAGUGACUUGACCAAGUGAAGGUUGAAAGAAAGUGUUGUAAAGAUCAGAAAGAUCUAAAAGAAAGAAGGAGUUGAGAUUAAGUCAUAACUCAACUACCUAGUGGAAAAUCUCAUAAGUAUUGUGGGGACUGGAUUAACCCACAUUGGGUGAACCAGGAUAACUCUUUUGUGUGAUCCUUCUUCCUUAUCUAUUUUAUAUUCGCACUAUUCACACACAUUCACUAUAACCAUUUAAAAUUACAUUUAAAUUACUAACAUAUUUGUUUAAGAAUUUUAAUUUUUAUUACAUCACAAUUCAAACCCCCUCUUUCUUGUGAUAAUUAUUUAUCUUCAAUCCCUACCAGCUUUCGACAAGCAUUUGCUACUCCACGACUAAUCUUUUGCCAUAAUCUGUUUUUAAUAUAACUGAAAGUUUCUUGCUUAUUCCUACCUAUCAUAGAAGGUAGUCCCAAAUAUUUUCCAGUUCCUAGAACCGCCUAAACUCCAAGUGUCAAAGUAAUCACACUUUGAGUAUUACUAUCCACAUUCCUGCUAUAAUAUAUUUCAGACUUCGGCAAGCUAAUAGCCUAAUCUGAGGCAGCUUCAUACAUAUUAAGAAUACUCUUCAUUUUGUGCGCCUCCUCUUC
rnacentral:lncRNA from 1 species